GAUGAACGCUGGCGGCGUGCCUAAUACAUGCAAGUCGAGCGAACGGACGAGCAGCUUGCUUCUCUGAUGUUAGCGGCGGACGGGUGAGUAACACGUGGAUAACCUACCUAUAAGACUGGGAUAACUUCGGGAAACCGGAGCUAAUACCGGAUAAUAUGUUGAACCGCAUGGUUCAACAGUGCAAGACGGUCUUGAUGUCACUUAUACAUGGAUCCACGCUGGAUUAGCUAGUUGGUAAGGUAACGGCUUACCAAGGCAACGAUGCGUAGCCGACCUGAGAGGGUGAUCGGCCACACUGGAACUGAGACACGGUCCAGACUCCUACGGGAGGCAGCAGUAGGGAAUCUUCCGCAAUGGGCGAAAGCCUGACGGAGCAGCGCCGCGUGAGUGAUGAAGGUCUUCGGAUCGUAAAGCUCUGUUAGUAGGGAAGAACAUAUGUGUAAGAAUCCGUGCAUAUCUUGACGGUACCUAAAGAGAAAGCCCCGGCUAACUACGUG
rnacentral:rRNA from 1 species